ensembl:lncRNA
CAUGCAUAGCCACCCUCCUAAACAAGAAGGAAUCUGCUCACCAACUUCUAGAAGAGAGUGCUCACCAUGCGGAGGAUCUCAAGACUGGCUGCAGAGACUACUGGAGGAGACGAAGAGACCAAACACAUGAUUUGCACAGCACAGCAGCUCGGAGCUCAAAGGGUGCACAGGGGCUCUGCCACUCAUUUAUCUGCAAGGUUAUCCUGCCAUACGAAAGUCAUUCACAUCCUCAGCAUUCCAGAGCUAGGGAGGCAUGCUCACACGGGAUAAAUAUAGAUCCUGACACCUGAGCCAAGUGCAAUGAAAGUUAACUGGAAAAGUCUCCCUGGUGUGUGCCUGGGUGGAGGAAAAUACCACCCUGGUCCUCUGCUUGCUGAGACCUGGGUGCCCCUUCAGAGACAGUUGCUGUGCUAAUGGAACAGGGGCAUUCUGGAGAUCAAACACUAAUAACCACCUUGCUUCUCCUCAUGAUUACUGUUUGUUCUGAGAGUAGACAUGGCUCAGGUUCCCCUUCCUGCUGACCUGGAUAAGCAGCAUGAGAGUGAAAGUAUUAUUUAGACAACAAACAGGUUUCUGCUUUUCUCAUGUUUACAGGAAAGAAAACAGAAACUCAAAGGAUGAUACUGAUCCGGAACAUGUGACUCAUUAGUAGUCCAUGGGCGAGUGUAACCACAAAGUGAUAACUUGCAAAGGCGGAGUUUGACCCUCCGCACCCGAGCCUGGAACAUCAGUCCUGAUACCACGACUCCUCUCAGACAGUAGGAAGCCUGACAUGGGAGAGGGACAGAGAGCAAGGACUGCGGUCUGCUGCUCAGGACCAGGAGGAGUCCUCCACGAGAGGUAGAUGCCGAUUUCCAUGGGCAGAUGCCACAGGUUUCCAAACAUCACAGAACGAGACUCUUCAUUAUAGAGCAAAAUAUUUCAUGCGUGUAAAACUUUCCUGUUACUUGAACUAAAAACUUGUAAAAAGAAAAAAUAGUCUUAGCAAGAAAGCAGAAGACAAAUGUUAAAAAUGCAGUGAGCCUAUGUGUGCAGUGACUAUCACAGAAAGCCUCUGACAUCCUAGGUGCUAUUGUGUCUAAAUAUGGACUUUGUCCUACGAGUCAGAUUAGGACAUUCUGAAUUUCCUUUCCUGAAUUAUGUGUGCAUUAUCAUUAAAGGCUUCAUUCCUUGCUGAGCGUCAACUCAUGAGGGGCACGGGAUGGUGGAGGAACAGCAGCUGUGUCUGUUCUGAGCCCCUGGACAGGGCCUCCGACCUCUCCCCACCCAGGGAUCCUCAGACAUCCUCUUCACCAGCUUUCUUCAAAACUGGACAUGUCCUACAGGAUAGCAAUUAAGCUGAAGACUGGUUUUCCCUGACUGGUUGCCUUUUUAGGGAACCUCAAGUUUCGAAGGUGGCAGCACCAAGACUUGCCUGGCCUUUGCUGUGCAUUGAGCAGUGAAACGGAAGCCGUGAGCCUUGGACUCGAGCUGCUGACAGAGCAGCCCUCAUGGGAUGUGGCUGUGGAAUUUCCCAUUUCUGUGUGAGAAUCUUUCCUCAGAAGAGCGGUGAGACCCAGCUGUACGUGUGCACAGUCACGUGGCUACAGGGGUAGCAGCACUCACUUGCUCUCCCCUCAGGUCUGCCAGGUGCUGCCCUCUGUCAGCUAGAUGUCUGUCUUCCUCCUCCAGGUGCCCAUCAGGAAGUAUUGGUGGCUUUUGCUUCAGCUUUCAAUAUGUUGUGCUGAAUUUGUUCAGAACAUUUAAAUUCAUAAAAAUCCUUUGGGAGAAAUUAAAAUUUUUAAGUAAAGAUUCACCCCUUAUGUGUCUGUCCCUGCCCAUUGUGUAGGGGUUAGCAAUGGAUGGUUCCUGAAGCUUGGCUGUGGGACAUAGGAGGAGAGAAUAUGAGAUUUUCUAAGGAAAAUUUGGCACGCACCCCUCCACCCCACUUGAAAAUAAUGAGUAAGAGUCACUGAAAUUCUCACACAUUAACCUUACUCAUGUGUGCUUGAGAAAAACACCUAUGAGAGAAGCAGCCUUGUCUAUUAACAACUUGAUUCAGCUGUGUAUUCAGGCCUGAAAGGCAUUUGGGCACCAUGUGUGACUGAUUACAUCAGCUCACUCUUCCUUCAGGGUUUUCUGUUGGUUUCCAUGUCACUGUGGAAUGAUUGCACCCAAAGACAUCCUUCCGAAGGGCCACUUACAGGACACCUGUGACAGAGGUUUAAUAUUAAACUUGUCUGCAUAACUCAUUGUGUGAAAUCUCCUUAUUUUAACAACAGUUUAAGGUGAAGUUUUUUAUCAUUGCUUCUCAAAACUGACUUCAAAAUACUGUUGUUUAAAAAAAAGUACUAAGAGUACUGUUGUGUUUGCCCCACACAAAUGAUAACCAUGUGAGGUAGUGCAUGUGCUAAUUAGCGAGAUGUAGCCAUUCUACAAUAUGUAUGUACUGUACUUCAAAACAUCACUUAGCAUAUGAUAAAUACCUAUAAUUUUAUCUGUCGAUUUAGAAAGGUAAAAUAACACUUUAUAGGUUUGAAGCAUUUCUUUAGAGGAGAGUGCUUACUAUAUGCUUGCUAUUCAACAGUACUCAGCUUGAAGGAAAGGCCCAUUAUCGAUUAGUGCUAUUACAUUUGAAGCCUAAAAUUAUGGCUAAGAUUCAUACCCUUUUAAUUGUAAAAGCCUUACAACGAUUUGCACAAAACCUUAUCAUGCCAAAGCAACAUUCUUCCUGGUGAAGAUUAUUUAAUCAUUUACUUAAUAGCAAGAUAUAGUGAGAUUCUGUUCUUGGGUCCAUAUCAUGCUAAUUGUGGGGGAAAUAAAACACGAUCAGCCAAAGUGUAUUUUCUGGAAAAUCUUACUAUUUAGUGAGGGGGGACAAGCUGAAUUGCAAUGUGAUGAGCUAAGCUGAGAGCCCAGAGAGCAUUCACACACACACACACACACACACACACAUGCAUGUCUGUGUAUGUGUGUAUGAAUGUGUAUAUGCACAUGUGUGCGUGUAAUGUACACAUAUUCUGUGCUUGUGUGUGUGAGAGAGUGUGCACACAGUAAAUGAGCUGAUACCCAUAAAUAGGAAGGUUUUAACUGGAAAAGAAUUAGGAAAGUAUUCAAAGACAAGGGCUCAGCAAAGGCACUGGGUGCACCGUGGAAACAUGGAGGAUUUGAGGAACUCGAGGCAGAAAGUCAAAGGCCAGGGGACAGGGGGGCAGUGGCUACAGAAGAGUAGUGAGAGAUGACGCAGGAAUGAGUGAAGAAAUGGGAGCAACCCUGCUGAAUGGAAUGCGGCCUGGCUUGAAACAGCAAAAAUGGAGGGGAGAAAGCAUGAACUUAAGCAAUAUUUAG